GAGCCGAAAUCAAGAGGCAGACGCUUAACCGGCUGAGCUACCCAGCCCCUGAGCUAUGCUUUAAAACCGAGGGAGCCUCAGCGAACUCCCUGGGAGCAUUACCUGGCCAUUUUGAAAAUACCCUCCCAGUGGAUUCAAGUUCCCCCCCCCCCCCCCCAACCAAUCCCUGCUGUGCCCCCGGAGCUUGCUUUUUCUUGGCUGGAUGUUCUCUAUCCCUGUUUCACCUCCUGCGGCUCCCCGCUUCUCAGCAGGUGGCCCUGUCCCCACCUUUACCAGCCCACCCCACAGGUAUUUUGGCUGAGCCGAGGCCUUGUCUUGGGUGGGUUUAGGGGUUGCGUGCUGGGGGAUGGUCAAGAAGAAAUACCAAUUUGUGACAUUGUCCGGCUCAACCCAGGAAUGCCAAUUCGCAAAACUGUCACCAGAUCCCAAAGCACCAGAACCUUCCCCCCACAGCUAAGGCCUGCCCAUAGAUGGACAGGGAGGUGAACAGGCAGCAAGCAGGACCCUCUGGUCCACCCCAGGACUCAUCAACCUCACGCGUCAGCAAGGGAAAUGAACCCUCUAGGUAUUUCUUAGGUUUCUAGGUACAGACUUACAAGCCCUCGUCACUGGAGAAGAUGGCUGUUUGCAGGACCCUGACCACGUGAUCAUCCUUCCGGCCAGCCUUCCUCCUUCGGGCCCCUUACUCCCGGGCUCUGGUCAUCCCAGCCAUGCCUCCAUACCAGCUCUGCCAGAGACCGUUUUUAAAGGGCUGGGUCUGCUCAGGAGCGUCCGCAUUAAGAUCUGCCCAGGAGAAGGGACAACUUCAAGCAUCCAGAGAACUCUCCGGCCACGCACCCACGAGCUAGAGAUGGAAGAGAUUCUGGCAGCCCGGCCUUCAGAGCCUGAUCGAGGAGAUGUGACCAUUUGCAGUUGGCAGAACUUCACGUCCAUUAUUUUCUCUGCCGCUCAGAGCCCUCUUUUGGUCCUCAUUCUACGGAUGGAGGGAGUGAGGCAAAAGCGAUCAGGAGACUCGCCGGGAGACACAGUCAAGGAUAGGGCAGCGCUGGGGUUCGGGGCUGCAGCCUUGGACUCCCGCUGCCAGUGCUCUUUCGGUAAUAAGUAUUUAUAAUUAGUAUAUGGUUUUAACAAGCGUAUCAUAACGCUUUGGUCAUCCAGUCCCGGGAGGUGAGUGGGCGGGUGCUGCUGUCUCACGGAGCAUGGUGGGUAUCUGCACCACAGAGAGGCUGGUCCCCCUGCUGUGAGUGCUCCCAGCCAGCCUGGACCCACAGCCGCCCCAAUUCAGCCCUCCGUUGGCCUAGGAUCCCAGCCCUGGGCAGGGCAAGAUUUAACCUCAUUUUCAGAACACAUCAGCCGUGUGGCCUAGGUGACAGCUGGCAGGUGGCUGAGGCCCCUGGUUCCCUGCUCCCGGCCUGGACAGAGGUAUCUAGGAAGGCACACAGCCUGCAUGGGGCUUGCUCAUCUGGGCCCUGCCCUGAGCUGGCAGCCCUCAGGGUCAGGACCCCCUCCGGAGGUGCCUAUGUCUCCGGAAACCUGUCCCUGCCUCUCCUCCUUUCCCUACAGAGCUAGACUCCAGGAGCCUGGCCUGAGGGCCACCUGGGCAGGCUGCCGGUGCAGGGGACUCACGGGCAGGCGCAUGGCGAGCUCCAGGAAGCCGUCAGCUGUUCCUAGACCAGCCUGCAGAGCCGGACGGCCAGCCUGCCUCCAACACGAGGGGUGGAGCCAGGAACUGAGAACACUGCUUUCCCAGAGCCUAGCUGGGCCAGGCCCAAGGGCUUUCUCGGGCGCUGAGGGCCUGAGCCUUGGCCACACCUUCCCUUGUUGGCCUUGGCUCUCUCUCCCUCGGUCUGUCUCCCCCCCUGCCCGCCACCAGCUAUUCCGCGGCAGAGUAUACGCUCUUGGCAAGGCCGUCCAUUUAACCUGCUUCCCAGAAAACAGGAUGGUUGGGCAGGCAGACUCAGCCAGCACCUUGGUGGGAAACAGGGCGGUGGACCUCAGUGCAGGCUUUUCUUGCCCGUACUCCUUGGGCGCCGGGUUGGGAGGUAGCCCUAAGCUGCCUUGGCUUACCUGGGUCAGAAGUAACCUCAGUUCAACUCACAGCCAGGCAGAGGCAAGAGCUUUGAGCUCCUGGAGCUGGGGAGAGGGGAAGGAUAAGCGUUGGCCCAGGAGUCUGAUCAGGGGCACUUAGCUGGGAGCCUUGGGUAAAGCCCCCCAUCUCUGAGUCUGUUACCUCAUUUGUUUGAUGGGCAUAAGAGUGCCCUUUAGAAAUGUGUCUGAAUACAAGGCUUCCGAAUGCAAAAAUGAAGUCGUCGUUUCCCCCUUCUCUCCCCUUCCAGGAGGACACUUCCACAGAGAACCCUGGGAGAUGUCUGGCACAGAGAAGAUGCUCACUUAAUGUAGGUGCACUGCUCCAGAAGUGAGGUCUGGGUCUCAGUGUGCCGGAGGGUGCCUUCCGUCCUUAUCUCUACAAAGGUGACCUUUCCUUCCGCUUCCUCUGUGGCUGUCCUGCCCUGGCCGGACCCCAUAGGGAUCGUGGUUCUGGCUUGAGACGCUGCAUUCCUCUCUGGCCGGGCCCGCCGAGACCCAGAGCCCAGGGAGGACUCCUUCCCCUCCUCGAUGCUCGUCCUGCAAGUCCAGACGCCGUCAACUCCAAGGCGUUCCCUCUGGGCCCGGGCCAGAGUAGCUGCGGCCGAGUUCCUCCCUCCCCCGCCAGCCUCCUUGGGUGCAGACAGCCCAGCACAGGCAGGAAGGGCCUUCUGUUUGCCUUGGCUGGUGGGGAAGAGAUUAGUGCUCGCUUUCUGUUUGGACUCUUGUAUCUAACUAACAGGCAGGCCCGUGACGUCGAAGCAAAGCACACUUGAGCCUUGAAUGAGUUUGGGCCCUGUUCCUGAGGCCCGGCCACUGCAGAGGUGUCUGGAGGUAGGAAGAGGUGAUAACACCACCCCUUGGGUAUAUGGAGAAAUGUAAUGGCCGUCUGUCAGCUGUCCCUACCCAGAGUCCACGACCCUUACUUUGGGUAAUGCCUCCUCAGGAGACCACUUCUCCCCGACCUCGACUUUAGAGGCAAGCAUGGAUCCCCGGACACACACGGAGACUCCCCCUUGGUGGUUUUGCAGCAGCUACGGGGAAAGAGGCAUUUGCUUUUUUGUGGGAUUUGCCAGGCUGAUGGAACUGCUGGCGGCCAUCCUGUUCUCUGCUUGAGGUCAAAGCCAACAAAGAAGAAAAAGCUCAGAGAUGGAGAGAAUAUGCUGUGCAGAUAUCCAUAAGCCCCUGGAUUGAGCCAUGCCUGAAGCUAACUCUACUCCUGGAUUAACCCGAUUAUAUGAGCCAAUGCAUUUCUUCUGUGCUAAAAUUAUCCUAAGUGGGGUUUCUGUCAUAGAAAGGAGCCUAAUAAAACAGUGUUUUUCUUUGGUCUCAUUACGAAGAAAAAAUCAACUCUGAGGUAUACUUUGCAUGCAAUAAAAUCUACCCAUUCGAAGUGCUCAAGUCCUAAAUUUUAUCAAAUGUGUACACCCUGGUAACUACCACUGCAGUCGAGAUGUAGAACAUUUCAAGUUCUUAUUCCCCUUUAUAGUCCUUUACCCUGAACAACCACUGACCUGCCUUUGUUGUAGAGAUUAAUUUUGCCUUUCUAGAACUUCAUAUAAAUAUUAUCAUUUAGUGUU